GACGAACGCUGGCGGCGUGCUUAACACAUGCAAGUCGAGCGGUAAGGCCCUUUCGGGGGUACGACGAGCGGCGAACGGGUGAGUAACACGUGGGUGACCUGCCCUCAGCUCUGGGAUAAGCCCGGGAAACUGGGUCUAAUACCGGAUAUGACUUCAUGACGCAUGUUGUGGAGUGGAAAGCCUUGUGCGGCUGAGGAUGGGCCCGCGGCCUAUCAGCUUGUUGGUGGGGUGAUGGCCUACCAAGGCGACGACGGGUAGCCGGCCUGAGAGGGCGACCGGCCACACUGGGACUGAGAUACGGCCCAGACUCCUACGGGAGGCAGCAGUGGGGAAUCUUGCGCAAUGGGCGAAAGCCUGACGCAGCGACGCCGCGUGAGGGAUGACGGCCUCGGUUGUAAC
rnacentral:rRNA from 1 species